CAAAAACAUCUUUUCUUGUUAGUCUUUGAAGUAUGGCCUGCCCACUGACUUUGAGUUGAAGGGCCGCGGUAUUUUGACCGUGCAAAGGUAGCAUAAUCAUUAGUUCUUUAAUUGUGAUCUGGUAUGAAUGGCUUGACGAGGCAUAAGCUGUCUUAGAGGUAUUGUUUUGUUGAAUUUGUAGUUUGAGUUAAAAUUCUUAGAUGUUUUUAUGGGACGAGAAGACCCUAUAGAGUUUGACAUUUAUUUUAGCUGAUGUAUUUGUUUGUUUUGUUUUUUAAAGCUAGGUUGAGUGUUUUGUUGGGGUGAUGGGAAGAAUUUUUGUAACUCUUCUUUAUUUUUGUAUAUUUAUUUAUAUUUGUUUGAUCCAUUUAUGUUGAUUAUAAGAUUAAAUUACCUU
rnacentral:rRNA from 1 species